rnacentral:lncRNA from 1 species
UGGAGACAGAGCUGGUUGGCAGCGCGUCUGACUGAGACUGACUUGUCUCCUGCCCGUGGUGGGAUAGAGAUGGAACUGGCACAGUGAUGGCACCACCACAAGCCCUGGUCUGCUUAGGUGCCUGCUCUGGGGACGAGAGCCUGAACAUGCAGCUGUGUGAAGUCCAUCCAUCAAGGCAAGCUUGGUCGGGAACUCCUGAUGACUGCCCUGACUUCCCCAGCGGUUUCUGCCGGGUGUUGAGGAGGAACCUGAGAAGAGAAGUUUUAGCAUCCAAGGUCACUUGGAAGGUAAGGAGCAGGGGUUCUUCUGUGAGGAAGGGGUCAGGGAUGGAGUGCUAGGGACCUGACAUCGAAUCUUGAUUCUGUGGUUUAUACGAAAUAGGACUUUGAAUGGCUUACCCAGGAUGUCUCAGAUGGUUCAUGGGUGAAAGAGGGGCAUCGACAGCCCACCCUGCAUGGUUGAAGUACAGAUUAGAGACCAUGAGUAAAGUGACACAGGCCAGGAAUCAUUAAGAUGGCUGCCCCUUCCAGGUGUGUGUGUGUGUGUGUGGGGGUGUGUGUGUGUGUGUAUUUGUGGCAGGGUUUCUCUGUGUAGCUCUGGUUGUCUUGGAACUCAGUUUGUAGACCAGGCUGACCUCAAACUCAGAGGUCUGACAGCCUCUGCCUCCAGAGUGCUGAAUUAAAGGUAUACACCACCACGGCCUGGUUAGGAAUAAUAUCUUCAAUCCACACAAAAGUUUCUGAGGAAGGCAAUUAGAACUUAGGGCCAAAGAUGAGAAAUUGGCUAUUGUGGGCUGGUGGGAUAGGUCAGCCGGGUAAAGUGCUUAUGUGAAAAGACUGAUGAUCUAAGUUAGGUCCGCAGUGGAGGGAGAAAACCGAUUCCUGAAAUCACCCUCUUAGGUUCACAUACAUGCUGUAGUACUGUGGCAUGCGCAUGUCCAAACACCCCCAACCUGCCUCCCACACCUAAGAAAUACGUCUCAGAAAGAGACAGAAACCAGUCACUGAAGGUGAUGUCCCUUGUCUGAGAUCACACAGAAUUAAGCAAAAGACCAGACCCAGUAUGAGGCCUGGCAUCCUUGUUCCUGACUGGUCUGCCACCCUAACCCCAUCACUCUUGAACCAGGAGACAGAAACAAUUUUCCUACUGGAGAUGUGGCUCGGUAGAAAGAGAGCUUCCUUGCAUGCAUGAAGCCCUGGGUUCCAUCUGGAACACAAAAUGUAAUCUUCAUGGUUGUAAGUUUCUGUGAUCUUAGCACUCAGGAGGCAGGAGAGUCAGAAGUUCAAGUUUGCCCUUGGCUACGUAUGGAGUUUGAGGUCAGCCCAGACUAGACAUUUGUCUCGAGGAUUUUCUUUCCAUUUUUUUUUCUUUCCUUCUCUGUCUCUGUCUCUGUGUCUCUCUGUGUUUCUGUGUCUGUCUCUCUUUCUCUGUCUCUGUCUCUGUCUGUUUCUGUGUCUCUGUCUCUGUCUCUGUCUCUGUCUCUCUCUCUCUCUCUCUCUCUCAUUACUUCUGAAGUUGGACAAGAACUGCUAGUUUCUAGUUCUGUUGGCCUCCAUUGACUCUGGCUUUUCCUUUGCUGCGUGACCCUAGCUCCAAGUCAGGUCGCAGAGGCAAGGUUUAGUCACAGUCUCCCUUCCCCCUGUUGCAAACUGCUUAGCCCCAGGAGGGGCCCACACAUCUGUGAAGAG